CUUAAGGUGGGCGCGACCGGCCCUCUCGGCGCGUACCGCGGAGGCGAGGCUUAGCUUUAGGGACACGCCCAGUAGGAGCGACGAGUCCCGCCGGCAAGCACGGAGGGGCCGGGGCCCCACGGGCUUCUUGGGAACAGGGAGUCAGGAGAUGUGAAAAAUACCUUCCCACCACUUAAUCCAGGCUAUUUGGCUGCAUCUGCUGCUGAAUCCAUGAGUGUGGAAAGCAAGUGCUCCUCUUCUGCCUGGCUACAUCCUGGAGCUCCUCUGGGAAUAAGCUCCUUGUCCAGGCUUUGUGAGCAUAUCCCAGAAUAUGUUGCUGCUCUUCUUACCUCCUGCUCCCUCCAGAUGAGAAUAGCUCCCAAAUAAAACAAGUCUCAGAUUUUGCAGUGCUUGGGCCAUAAAAACAACCGUUUUCCUCAAACCAACAACUUACUUCAGUGACAGAGACCCCAAAACCUCACUGCAUCCAUUGGGGUCACUCCCAGUGGUGAUGGCUUCAGAUGUCCCUCUCCAGGAGGAGAUGCUGAUGCCACCAGCCCAGAUGCCCAUAGGAGGAAAACAAAGGUGUCCAGAGACAGCCCUGAACCCCAAGUGAUAGCGGUGUAGGUGGGGUCACCUUGUCCCACAGCCUGCACAUGGAACACUCCAAAACAGAGUCACCGGGAAGAUGGCAACAAACUCCGUGAGCCACACUGGAAUCCAAUGGCAUCACCAUGAUGCUCUUCUUGACAGAGACCUUGCUCUGUCAUUGCUGCCUCCAGGUCUGCUCUCUCUCCUGAGGCCAGGAGGAUGAUGACUUCAGAUCAAUAACACCACCAGCCCCUCCAGCACUCAGCAACGCCCGAUAAAGGAGUGUUAUGGAGCUCUUCCAGCACAGGUGGGGUUUCCUGGGAAAAAAAACACCUAGGCCAGGAAACUGAGGUGUGGUGGUGUGAGGUUCAGAGGUCUCUGACCACAAUGAGACAUGCAAGGCUGGAAGCCGACACCCAACUUCUAGCAUGCCUUUGCCUUGAGAGCUGUAUUGCUGCUAUCCCAGCAGUAAAACCAAAAUAAAGUUGUAGGAUGCCUA